CACGAGCGCACCCUCGCCUUUAGUUGCCAGCAUGUUGGGGUGGGCACUCUAAAGGAACUGCCGGUGACAAGCCGGAGGAAGGUGGGGAUGACGUCAAGUCCUCAUGGCCCUUAUGUCCUGGGCUACACACGUGCUACAAUGGCGGUGACAGUGGGAAGCCAGGCAGCGAUGCCGAGCUGAUCUCCAAAAGCCGUCUCAGUUCGGAUUGCACUCUGCAACUCGGGUGCAUGAAGGUGGAAUCGCUAGUAAUCGUGGAUCAGCAUGCCACGGUGAAUACGUUCCCGGGCCUUGCACACACCGCCCGU
rnacentral:rRNA from 1 species